rnacentral:misc_RNA from 1 species
UAAUAAAAAUAAAAACCUUUUUUUAUAAAUUUAUGUUCCGUCGGAAAAAAAAACUUACCAGAAAUUCCAAAUCUUCACAAUGAAAUCAUUUUUUGCCCUUUUAAUCUCCGUCAGUUUCAUCAUCGCCGCCGCCGCUAAAACCGGCCACGUCAUCACUUUCCGAUCACCGUCUCUCUACCCGGAGUCAUUCACUUGGGAUCCUAAAUCUCACAACUUCAUCAUCGGCGGUACUCGUCACCAGAAACUCCUCUCAAUUUCCGAAUCCGGCGUAGCUGAAACCUUAAUCUCCGACACAGAUUUACCGGAAAAUUCCUCAUUCCUCGGCCUCGCUAUCGACCGCCGUAACAAUCGCCUCCUUGCUUGCAUUCACCGCAUCCCGACCGCCACUCAUCCUUCCCCUUUCAACGCACUCGCCGCCUACGAUCUCAAAUCCCGCCGCCGCAUCUUCCUCACCCCGCUCCUAGACAAAAACGACCAAAAUCCGAUCGCAACCGUAACAGAGAUAAUCCACCCCGCUGCCGCCAACGACGUCGCCGUUGAUUCCUCCGGGAACGCUUACGUCACAAACUCCGACGGCGACUUCAUCUGGAAAGUAAACAUCGACGGCGAAGGUUCAGUUUUCUCUAGAUCGGAGACCUUCAAAUCUCAUCCCGUG